rnacentral:lncRNA from 1 species
UCCAUCUAUCCCCUGAGAGCAGACAAGGAGGCAGUCUCCCACCCCUUAAGAGUACCAAAUAACCAAGUUGAAGCUCUGAGCGAGCCUGUGGUGUUUCCUGAGUUAGCCGAUCAACAGCCCCCUCAGCAGCAUGGAAUAGCAGUCGUCGAGCACURCCACCACACAGGAAGAAGUCAGCUCCAUCAAGAUGGUGGCAAAGUCUUCACCUUCAAAUAUGGUGGCUGGAUCAGUCCCACACAACAGAUGGAGAUGAGAUKGCUGUCUGUGCAGAUGGCAGCAACGUCUGGUACUGCAUUACAGGAGCAAAAGGAAUGUGAAAAGAGAGCACCUCCUCCCAGCCUCCAGAAGCAAGCUGGAGAGYGYYAAYWGUGWGAAAUGSAAGACUUGAUACUGCCAACUCAAGUUCAAGCCAUUUUGUCAAUAUGAUGUUGCUGUGUCUUAUCCAUGGGAGCCUGACUUCAAUUGUUUUAGUCAAGUCUUUUGAAUGUAUUUUAUUUGACUAUUCUUAACUUGAAUCAAGAAAACAUUCGAUGUCAGAAUUUUUCCACUCUAGUUUGCCAGAAACAAUUUUGGAACACUGUUACAAGUUCUGUCUAUAGUUAGGAAGGCCUAUACCUCUAAACCAUCAUAUGUGUUAAUGUAUACUGUUUGUCCAGAAACAUUUGCAUGCGUUCUUGUUUUUCAUAACCAGGGUGUUCUCUAGAAAUUGCUUUGUCAUUAUGUCAACUUCUCAAGUACAGAUAAAUAUUUGGUAAGGCAACCUUUUUUGGUCAGUGAAUAUUUGACAUCUCUGUAACCUUGAUGUAUUUUGUCAGCUGCCUCAUGUGGUCUACCUGUAAAUUAAUUUGCCUGCAUUUGGUAUUUGUCAUAAUACAAUGGGAGUUAUUUUAACUUGGAAACCCAUUAAUUGGUAUCUCUAGCAUGUAAACUACUUUUUGGGAUUUGAAAUGGAUCUGGACAUACAGCAUACAAUUUCCAUUAUAUCAAGGAAAAUACAUUCUAGAUAUUGUUUUUCUUAUCUGCUUAUAUUUGGUCACAUUCCUUUAAGUUUUGAGUAGUCCGGUAGUAGUUGGCUCCCAUAUCAGAAUGUUGCUCUGUACCUUUCCUAAACAGGAUGCUUCUCUGUCUUGUCUCUGUUGAUUUCAGACACCUCUUCAACAGUGAAGUCAAGUUCAUGUAGCGUGCUAUCUCCUGGUCAGAUGUUUAACAUUGCAGAACCUCUCAUAUCUCACAUUGAUGCUUUAGUUCUGAUACAUUCAUAUUUUUUGUUCAAUAGUGGUUUAUAACUGUACAUUUCCAUUUAACUAACAAUGCUUCUCCUUUUUAAAAUGAGCUGCUCCUUCUCUUACUAUCUCAACUGUUCCUUCUGACACCUGUGGGUUUGUUUUUUCCUCUUGAACUUCUUGAAGCCCAUCACUGUAACUCCUGCCUCCAUUUGUCCUAUUAGACUGCACUUGAACAAUUCCCUUUUCUUACUUCAGCCUGAUGCAUCGGUUCAUUUUUAAUUCUUCACUAUCUUUAGUGGAUUUGUUCUUUCUCCUUUUCUCUCCUCACUCUUCUUACCUGCAUGUGUCCCCUCCCUCUUCCCUUCUAUCAGAAUAUCUCCUUUCUCCACCCUCAUGUUGAGUAUCUGUUUGCUAGUGACUAUUGUUGCUGAGUAACUUUCCAUUCUCGGUAGUAAGUAUUGCUUCUACGCUGCUCAGGUGGUUUCUGUUGCAGCUAGCUGAAACUAAAGGAUAUACUUGCAAAAUAUCCCUCCCUGGAUUGUAUUUGAAAUGAAAUACUCCCAUUUUGUAAAUACUGUGUACAUAUGUAUUUUUUUUCUUGAACCUAAUAAAAUAAGUUUAGAAAUAAGUAUUGUUUGUCUUGAGUUAUAGAAAUGACAUGUUGCACUUCUACUUAAUCAAUGUAAAAAUUGCAUCAAACCCAGAGGACUACUCAAACUGAACAUUGUUAAAGGCAUUUAUUUUAAUAAAAAUCUGAACUGAGAGACAGCAAUGGACAAUCAAUCAUAUUACAGGGACAGUUCCUGAAAUUCUGGCUAUCAUGUCACUGAUCAACAUGAUUGCACUGUUUCUAGGGAUUGGCACAAUAUUAAAUGUCAAAAGAAUGGCUCACAGUAUGACCAGAGAGCAGUUGGGAAAAGGCAUGCUUUUGCAUGAGGAAAUUGAGUAGGCUGAAGAAGCAACAAGCCACAGAAUAGCAAUAGAAAUCCUCAUUAGCAUGUCGUGGAGAGAACAUUCUACAAGAUUCAUCUCUUCUGUGUAAAUUCAUAAUGAAGGAAAAUAAGUUCUAGGAAGAGAAAAGCACACAGGAAUAAGAGGUGACAGACAGCCGGUACAAGAGGAAAAUGAAAGCAAGGGGCAUAGAACAUGAGGGAAUAUUCUGACUAGACUACUGAAAGAUGAAAGCAGUUUUUCACAGGAGCUCAGAAGACAGGAAAGCAUUCAGAACAGGUGAAUGGAGAAGAAAAACAGCACAACAUAAAGAACUAAAUACAAAGCUGAAAGAGGAGGACCUAAAGAGGGACAGAGUGGAGCAGAGGAAGACCUAAUUAGGGUCAGAGAGGAGCAGAGGGAAAGAGGAAGACCUAAAGUGUGUCAGAGAGGAGCAGAGGGAAAGAGAAAGAGGAGGACCUGAAGAGGGACAGAGGAGGAGGAGCAGAGGGAAAGAGGAGGACCUAGAGGGACAGAUCGGAGCAGAGGAGGACCUAGAGAGGAGCAGAGGGAAAGAGGAGGACCUAAAGAGGUGCAGAGAGAACGAGGAGGACCUAAAGAGGGACAGAAAGGAGCAGAGGGAAAGAGGCGGACCUGCAGAGGGACAGAGGAGCAGAUGGAAAGAGGGGAGCAGAGGAUGACCCAAAGAGGGACAGAGACGAGCAGAGGGAAAGAGGAGGACCUAAAGAGGGACAGAGGAGCAGAGGGAAAGAGAUGAGCAGAGGGAAAGAGGAGGACCUGAAGAGGGUCAGA